AAAAUGCGAUAAGUAAUGUGAAUUGCAGAAUUCAGUGAAUCAUCGAAUCUUUGAACGCACAUAGCGCCCGCCAGUAUUCUGGCGGGCAUGCCUGUUCGAGCGUCAUUUCAACCCUCAAGCCCCCCGGGUUUGGUGUUGGGGAUCGGGCUGCGGUUCUGCCGCGUCCCGGCCCCGAAAUCUAGUGGCGGUCUCGCUGCAGCCUCCAUUGCGUAGUAGCUAACACCUCGCAACUGGAACGCGGCGCGGCCAAGCCGUUAAACCCCCCAACUUCUGAAUGUUGACCUCGGAUCAGGUAGGAAUACCCGCUGAACUUAAGC
rnacentral:misc_RNA from 1 species